UGUUCUGAAACCGUAUCCCGUCGUCAGAGCUGUUGACGUCUUGUAGACAUCGGGCUGUGUUAAUUGAAGCACGACACUUGUUCUCUAUGAAUAGACCCGCUUUGGUAUUUCUGGACGUCACGCUGUUUACGUCUGUGGAUGACCUACCGCUACAUUCCAACAGGGGGCGCCGUGGGCGGUGAAGCCAGGCACAGGCACAGGCAGAAGAAGAAGAAAAGCGGUUCCUUCUUCCGUGUUGUUGUUGCUAAUAAGCUAACAGGAGAAGCAACUCGGCCUCCGACAGUGAAGUCUGUAGAUAAUAUUUUAGAGGAGCUGUGCCUUCAAAUACACGAAUCCCCUGAUCGUAGGACUUGUUUAAACAUCGUAGCUGAAAUGGGAGACCCUGCUUUUCAUCGAGACUGUCCUCUUGACUGCAAGGUUUAUGUUGGAAAUCUGGGCAGCAGUGGAAACAAGACAGACCUGGAAAAAGCUUUUAGUUCCUAUGGGCCUUUACGAAGUGUCUGGGUUGCUCGGAAUCCUCCAGGUUUUGCUUUUGUAGAGUUUGAGGACCCCAGGGAUGCGUCUGAUGCUGUGAGAGGACUGGAUGGGAGAUUCAUUAAUAGCUGUCGAGUUCGUGUUGAGCUGUCCACCGGAGAGAAGCGCUCUGGCGGCCGUGGUCCUCCGCCAUCAUGGGCUAGACGCGGUCGGGACGAUUACAGGCGCAGUAGUCCCCCAGUCCGACGCAGAGUCACCACCACGCUUCUUACCAUCUGAGUCAGUCAACUAGUCCUCUUUCAGCAUCAUGUGGCUGCUGACCAGCGAGCCCCAAUCAGCUUGGCUGGUGUUGUCACAUGACCCAGGCGCACCGCCACCAACCUUUUGGUUCCUGAGCAUGCGGUUCCCAGCUUCCUCCUGUUCUUCCUCCAACCUUUACCCAGUCGACAGCGCUCCACUUCACAUUAUCAGCCAGUCGGCGUCUUUACUCGAUCUAUUCUCUGCACAUCUACUGUGUCAGCGGGAGCAGCCCUUGGCUUACAUCCCUCCCCACCCCCCCAAAAUCGACAGCUGCCCCUCCAACCAGCCACCAAGCAGCUUCAUAUCUCCAACAUUUGCAUCUUGUGGCAAAUCCUCUCUACAAUUCGACCCCACUCACCAUCAGUCUGGCGUCCUUGCGUCAUUUCUAUCUUGUCAAAUCCCCCAAAAAUAGUAAGUUACUUUUAUCCUGCUCUUUGUAGUUUCUGUGUGUGAUGAAGCUUUUGAAGCAGCAGUUUUCCCUCAGUACAUUUGUAUUUUAAAGCAAUUUCAGAGCUGCAAAAUUUUCACAGUCAAGGAAAAUGAGCAUUUGGCUUUUAAGAAGUGAACUUUAUUUUUUACUUGGUUUAAUAUUGCUGCUGAGAAUGUUUUCAGGGCUCGACAUUAAACUUCCCCGAACAAUAUAUAAAGAAGGUCUUGUAAGUUUUUCUUUGACUUUUUUUGAAAGGUUUUAGGCACUAUAUGCAGUUUAUUCAUUUUUCAGAGCUUGAAUAAACUUUGCAUCCAUAUUUCUCUUCACAUCGUGUAAAGACAGUUGCUGAAAGUUGGAGUGUACUACAUAAUUAAAUUGACACAAGUCUUAAUGUCGAGUCCUGAUUUUUGAUAAAUAUUCUGAUAUUUGGCUCUUUGAUUGGCACUUCAUGGGUAUUUCUUCUUCAUGAAUUUACCCAUUCAUUCCAUUGAUUCUCAGACGAGGAAGUACGUGUAACCACGUUUCCACUAAUGUAUCCUGAGGGACACACACAGCUAAAUGCCAAAGGUUUUAUGUUGAUGAAAGGUUAAAAUAAAUUCUUUCUUGAUGUGUUGUCUUUUAUUCUUUUGACCUCACCUACACCAUAGAUCCCCAAGGAAGAGGAGUAGCAGUCGCAGCAGGUCUCCUUCAAGAGAGAGGCGCAGAUACCGAUCUCUGUCCAGAGACAAGAAAUCUAAGCGCUCGCCGUCUCUCUCUCGCUCAAGGAGCCGCUCCAGGUCUGCUGACAGGAAAUGAGGAGGAUGUUCUUAUUCAUCCACAGGACUCUGCUGUUGUUGCUACAGUUAAACUUUUUGUUGUCCUGUUUUUCUCUUUUCGGUUUCGUUUGCUCGUUUUGCUUGAGACGGUCUAAAGUUACUCAGUUGGGCCUGUGAAAUGAUUGACAAAGGGUUGAGGGUUUUCUCCUUUCUAUCAUGACAUGAAUUUGAGAUUUUACAGGGAUAUUUUUUUUUUCAUUACUUAAAAUCCAUCGUCUUACCUUUGCAUGUUUUGUAAAAGAUGGCUGAGAUUAGUUUUACAUGAACCAAUCACUUUUAAUUGUUGGAGUAAAAGUUCUGUGAUGGUUUUGUUCUUGCUGCAUUUUAAUUCUCGGUUAAAUGAUGUUCCUCUCAUCGAGUCGCUGUGGGAUGCAGUUCUAUCGAGCUUUGUACCAGUAAGAGAAAACAGACUCAACCAAUGCUGUUCAUUUCAGUGUUGUUUGUUGGCUCGCUCAAAAACAUGAUUGGUAUCUUUGUAUUUUGCCUACAGCGUGUUACCUUUGCUAAAUGCCGCCACCCCACUUUGCUUGACUCUGAGCUCUGACAGUUUGUGCCGAUGCAGUUUAACUUGUUCAAUAAAUGUUUUCCACGGUGACACCAUGCA